AUGAAGGACAGUUGGUUGCUACCAAGUUUCAGGCCUGGCUGUCAACCCAGUCCAAUGCAUCACAGUGAAAUUAAUCCAUCACUAAACAACCCAGAUGCCUAUUCAGCCAAAUUUCCUGCUGUCUCCAUUUUCCAAUUAACAUUGACUCUGAACACACUGAAAGGCGGCUCCUGCUUCCUCUGAAGCUGCUUCGACAAGGUUGCGAAUGGAUCACCAAGAUGCCGACUCAAAAGGAAUCUUUUCAGCACUUUUUUUCUUUUGACCUUUAUGCUUUAUUUUGAGAGCGUGUACCAGCUGGUCCUUCCUAAAACUUUCUACUCCUGGGCUUCUGUGACAAAAUUCUUUUCUAAUCUUCUGUCUUUCUGAUUAUAAACUAAAAAGCUCAUUCAUAAGGUACUUCCUCUUUCUCUCCUACCUUGUGACUAUGUUUUCAGCUUUUCAUUCUUAGUCCACUGUUCUUUUCAUUCUCCACAAUCUCCUCAGAUAAUCAUGAUUUGAACACC
rnacentral:lncRNA from 1 species